rnacentral:lncRNA from 1 species
GGUCUACAUUAAUGUUUUCAGAUGAUGAUUAUUACUUGCAGAAAUUUUCAAUACUUUCUUGUAUUUAUGCUAAUGGCACGGUGUUAAGUUGUUGAACAUUCUUUCCAUGGAAAUGUUUUUUGACAUUCGGAGAAAAUCUGAAUUUUACAAUUUGUAAUUGCCAGUUAAGUGUUGGUUGCCGUUUUUAAUUUCAAAUUUUAUUAUUACACACACAUCAAUAUUUAUUUCCCCUUCAAAUGCCAGUUUUUUAUCUAUAUAUUUAAUUGCUUCUCGUUAUUACCAAAU